rnacentral:rRNA from 1 species
GUUUGAUCCUGGCUCAGAUUGAACGCUGGCGGCAUGCCUUACACAUGCAAGUCGAACGGCAGCACGGGAGCAAUCCUGGUGGCGAGUGGCGAACGGGUGAGUAAUACAUCGGAACGUGCCCAGUAGUGGGGGAUAACCCGGCGAAAGCCGGACUAAUACCGCAUACGACCUACGGGUGAAAGCAGGGGAUCGCAAGACCUUGCGUUAUUGGAGCGGCCGAUGUCAGAUUAGCUUGUUGGCGGGGUAAAAGCCCACCAAGGCGACGAUCUGUAGCUGGUCUGAGAGGACGACCAGCCACACUGGGACUGAGACACGGCCCAGACUCCUACGGGAGGCAGCAGUGGGGAAUUUUGGACAAUGGGCGCAAGCCUGAUCCAGCCAUGCCGCGUGCGGGAAGAAGGCCUUCGGGUUGUAAACCGCUUUUGUCAGGGAAGAAACGCUCCGGAUUAAUACCUCGGAGUAAUGACGGUACCUGAAGAAUAAGCACCGGCUAACUACGUGCCAGCAGCCGCGGUAAUACGUAGGGUGCAAGCGUUAAUCGGAAUUACUGGGCGUAAAGCGUGCGCAGGCGGCUUUGCAAGACAGAUGUGAAAUCCCCGGGCUUAACCUGGGAACUGCAUUUGUGACUGCAUGGCUAGAGUGCGGCAGAGGGGGAUGGAAUUCCGCGUGUAGCAGUGAAAUGCGUAGAUAUGCGGAGGAACACCGAUGGCGAAGGCAAUCCCCUGGGCCUGCACUGACGCUCAUGCACGAAAGCAUGGGGAGCAAACAGGAUUAGAUACCCUGGUAGUCCACGCCCUAAACGAUGUCAACUGGUUGUUGGACGGCUUGCUGUUCAGUAACGAAGCUAACGCGUGAAGUUGACCGCCUGGGGAGUA